rnacentral:rRNA from 1 species
CAGUCCCGCGGUAAUACGAAGGGGGCUAGCGUUGCUCGGAAUGACUGGGCGUAAAGCGCACGUAGGCGGAUCGAUCAGUCAGGGGUGAAAUCCCAGAGCUCAACUCUGGAACUGCCUUUGAUACUGUCGAUCUGGAGUAUGGAAGAGGUGAGUGGAAUUCCGAGUGUAGAGGUGAAAUUCGUAGAUAUUCGGAGGAACACCAGUGGCGAAGGCGGCUCACUGGUCCAUUACUGACGCUGAGGUGCGAAAGCGUGGGGAGCAAACAGGAUUAGAUACCCCAGUAGUCCCUGUCUCUUAUACA